rnacentral:rRNA from 1 species
AGGGCGCAAGGGGGAUGCCUUGGCAUUGGUAGCCGAUGAAGGACGUAGCGAUCUACGAUAAGCCACGGGAAGUCGAAAGCAGGCAAUGAUCCGUGGAUUUCCGAAUGGGGAAACCCGGCAGAGCAAUACUCUGUCAACUCCUUGUGAAUAAAAUAGCAUUGAGUAGGGAACCUCCUGAACUGAAACAUCUAAGUAGGGAGAGGAAAAGAAAUCAACCGAGAUUCCGCUAGUAGUGGCGAGCGAACGCGGAAGAGGCCAAACCAAGAGUAGUAAUACUUUUGGGGUUCGGACUGAGUACGGUAUUGACAAGAGUUAGUAGAAUGGAAUGGGAAGUUCAACCAUAGAGUGUGAGAGUCACGUAUACGAAAACUUAAGUCAGCCAUCAGUAUCCAGAGUACCGCCGGACACGUGAAACCCGGUGGGAAUACGGGGGGACCACCCUCCAAGCCUAAAUACUCACCAAUGACCGAUAGUGUAUAGUACUGUGAAGGAAAGGUGAAAAGAACCCCUGGCGGGGAGUGAAAAAGAACCUGAAACCUUGUGCCUACAAGCACAUAGAGCACGUCAACGUGUGAUAUGGUACCUUUUGUAGAAUGGUCCGGCGAGUGAAUGUCACUAGCGAGGUUAAGAACUUAAGGUUUGCAGCCGAAGCGAAAGCGAGUCUUAAUAGGGCGAGUUUAGUUAGUGGUAUUCGACCCGAAACCGAGUGACCUAGCCAUGAGCAGGCUGAAGUGGAGGUAAAACUCCAUGGAGGGCCGAACCCACUCCCGUUGAAAUGGUAGGGGAUGACUUGUGGCUAGCGGAGAAAUUCCAAUCGAACUCGGAGAUAGCUGGUUCUCUCCGAAAUAGCUUUAGGGCUAGCCUCAAUUAACAUUACCGCAGGUAAAGCACUGAAUGGGCUAGGGGGCGAAAGCUUACUGAACCCUAUCAAACUCAGAAUGGCGGAUAAUGAAUAAUUGGGAGUCACACUACGUGAGAUAAGUUUCGUGGUGGAAAGGGAAACAGCCCAGACCCACAGCUAAGGUCCCAAAGUACAGUUAAGUGGAAAAGGAUGUGAAGUUGCGCAGACAACCAGGAUGUUGGCUCAGAAGCAGCCACUCAUUCAAAGAGUGCGUAAUAGCUCACUGGUCGAGUGAUUUUGCGCCGAAAAUUUAACGGGGCUAAACUGUACACCGAAGCUUGGGAAUAUACCAUAUGGUAUGUUGGUAGGAGAGCGUCGUAUGCGGGGUGAAGUCGUAGCGAAAGCGGCGGUGGACUGCAUAGGAGUGAGAAUGCCGGAAUGAGUAGCGAGAAUUAUGUGAGAAUCAUAAUGGCCGAAAGACUAAGGUUUUAGAAGGAAGGUUCGUCCGCUUCUAGUUAGCCGGGAGCUAAGGCGAGGCCGAAAGGCGUAGUCGAUGCACAUACGGUUGAGAUUCCGUAGCCACCUUAAAUUUAAACUAAGGGACACAUUGAAAGGGAAUAACCCAGGCGUUGGUUGACCUGGGCGUAAGGGAACGAAAAUAAGUAGUGAAGUAUUCUUGGACAGUGGCGAGAAAAGCUUAGUGUAUAUUAUUAGGGUGCCCGUACUGCAAACCGACACAGGUAGUCAGGAAGAGAAUUCUAAGGCCAUCGGGAGAAGCGUUGUUAAGGAACUCGGCAAAUUGACCCCGUAACUUCGGAAUAAGGGGUGCUCACGAGAGUGAGCCGCAGUGAAUAGGUCCAGGCAACUGUUUAUCAAAAACACAGCUCUCUGCUAAAUCGUAAGAUGACGUAUAGGGGGUGACACCUGCCCGGUGCUGGAAGGUUAAGAGGAGGAGUGCAAGCCCCGAAUCGAAGCCCCAGUAAACGGCGGCCGUAACUAUAACGGUCCUAAGGUAGCGAAAUUCCUUGUCGGGUAAGUUCCGACCCGCACGAAUGGUGUAAUGAUCUGGACACUGUCUCAACAACGCACCCGGCGAAAUUGUAGUACCGGUGAAGAUGCCGGUUACCCGCGGCAAGACGGAAAGACCCCAUGGAGCUUUACUGUAACUUAAUAUUGGGUCUCGGUACUUUAUGUACAGGAUAGGCGGGAGACUUGGAAACUAGCACGCCAGUGUUAGCGGAGUCAUCCUUGGGAUACCGCUCUUAAGGUAUUGAGAUUCUAACCUGCAGCCUUGAAUCAGGUUGGGGGACAUUGUUAGGUGGGCAGUUUGACUGGGGCGGUCGC